rnacentral:rRNA from 1 species
AUUGAACGCUGGCGGCAUGCCUAACACAUGCAAGUCGAACGGCAGCAUGGCUAAGUGCUUGCACUUAGCUGAUGGCGAGUGGCGGACGGGUGAGUAACGCGUAGGAAUCUACCCUUAAGUUGGGGACAACCCGGGGAAACUCGGGCUAAUACCGAAUAGAAACUCUGAGGAGGAAAGCUGGGGACCUGAAAGGGCCUGGCGCUUGAGGAGGAGCCUGCGUACGAUUAGCUAGUUGGUGAGGUAAAGGCUCACCAAGGCGACGAUCGUUAGCUGGUCUGAGAGGAUGACCAGCCACACUGGGACUGAGACACGGUCCAGACUCCUACGGGAGGCAGCAGUAGGGAAUAUUGGACAAUGGGGGCAACCCUGAUCCAGCCAUGCCGCGUGAGUGAAGAAGGCCCUCGGGUUGUAAAGCUCUUUUGUCCGGAAAGAAAGCAAUCGGUUAAUACCCGGUUGUUCUGACGGUACCGGAAGAAUAAGCACCGGCUAACUUCGUGCCAGCAGCCG